UUCUCUAUUUCACCAAUAGUACAGAUCCUUGAUUCUUAUUCUAGAGCCCGCGCAACUCAAGAAACAGAAAUGGAAUGCUCAUUUGAUUAUGUGAUUCCCACUGAACAUAGAAUUAAAGGCAGGCCUUCGCAGAAGUCUUCCCUU